AUCCAUUCACACCAUUGCAUCUAACUUCUUCGCAUAUAUAAUUGACUUCAGUGUUGGAGAUUAAUGCUGUGUAGUUAUGAGCAAUUGAUAAGAAUAUGGCAAUACUUACAAACUUUUUUCGUGUACUGCUUGGUUUUAGAUACAUACAUGUCCUAAUGAAUCUCUGUAGUAUUUCGCAUAGUAACUAAAAAUACAAGUAUAUAGCUUUCUACAUGGGUAAUUGGUGUAUGAAGCAGCGGCAUCAGGUAUAUCAUGAAGAUCCAUCUGUUCUUGCAUCUGAAACACAUUUUACUGUGAGGGAGGUGAAACUGUUGUACAAGUUGUUCAAGAAAUUAAGCAGCUCUAUAACUGAUGAUGGAUUUAUCAGCAGAGAAGAGUUUCAGCUCGGAUUGGUUCAAAAUAGCAAGAAGCAGUCAUUCUUUGCAGAUAGGAUGUUCAAUUUAUUUGACUACAAGAGUGAUGGAGUGAUAGAUUUUGGUGAGUUUGUCCGAUCUUUGAGCAUCUUUCACCCCGACACACCUGAAGCCGAAAAAGUUGCUUUUGCAUUCAGACUAUAUGACAUUUGGCAGACAGGAUUUAUAGAAACUGAGGAGGUCAAGGAGAUGAUUUUGGCAUUCCUAGAUGAGUCAGAUUUGACGCUGUCCGAUGAUACUGUUGAACUCAUAAUCAGCAAGACAUUUGAAGAAGCUGAUUCAAAGAGAGACGGAAAGAUUGACACGGAAGAAUUUAAGGAUUUUGCUGCCCGGAAUCCAUCCUUACUAAAGAACAUGACAAUUCCAUACCUGAAGUAAAUCUCUCUUAUUCAUUCAGUUGCAAAGUCCUGGAAUGCUACUUCCGCAUGGACUAGCUUAAGCCCUCUUGAAAAUUUUACCAUCUCAUAGGUGUAAAUACUCGAAAAGCAAACUUAUUCAGCACUCAAUGCAAGCAAGGAGAUUGUUUGACUUAGAGCACACUAGUUUAAAUUCAUAAUAGAGGUAAAUAUGCUGUUGGUUAUUCACCUCUUCCCCAUGCUUCAACUUAGUCAAUCAAAUUGCUUUAAGUCUAUAGUUGACUUGGUGGAAAGAUUAAAAAGCAUUUGAAAUUGCAGACAAUUGAAAUUCUUUGGACAGAAUAAAUAGGCUUAUUUUCCUGAAAAUGGGACAUAACUACAGCAUUUCCUAGUUUUGUGCUGAAAUCUGAGCCGGAAGAUGGGAUUACCAAGGCGUUUUGAGGAUGUUAUGACCAAUUAGACUUGUUAAAUGAUGCAGAGAGUAAUUAAAGGAUGACAAAACACAUCCCUUUGAACACUGAACAGAUGAAGUGUUUAUGUAGAAUAAGUUUGACGUAAAGUUGCAGUUAAAGUACGAUGUGAAACCUUUUAAGAUGGUGUUUUGGUUCACUUAUUCAUCACUCAACUAACCUGAAUUUACAUCUAUUUCUUUCUGCCUA